rnacentral:sRNA from 1 species
AGCUGGACCGGGUCCACCGCGCGCGUGGUGAGCAGGUAGUCCCGCAGCACGAUCCCGUGGCGGCCCUC